AACGAACGCUGGCGGCAGGCUUAACACAUGCAAGUCGAGCGCCCCGCAAGGGGAGCGGCAGACGGGUGAGUAACGCGUGGGAAUCUACCCAUCUCUACGGAAUAACGCAUGGAAACGUGUGCUAAUACCGUAUACGUCCUUCGGGAGAAAGAUUUAUCGGAGAUGGAUGAGCCCGCGUUGGAUUAGCUAGUUGGUGGGGUAAAGGCCUACCAAGGCGACGAUCCAUAGCUGGUCUGAGAGGAUGAUCAGCCACACUGGGACUGAGACACGGCCCAGACUCCUACGGGAGGCAGCAGUGGGGAAUAUUGGACAAUGGCGCAAGCCUGAUCCAGCCAUGCCGCGUGAGUGAUGAAGACCCUAGGGUUGUAAAGCUCUUUCACCGGUGAAGAUAAUGACGGUAACCGGAGAAGAAGCCCCGGCUAACUUCGUGCCAGCCGCCGCCGUAAAAC
rnacentral:rRNA from 1 species